AUGAUGGGAGGGCUGUGGCUGCCAGUCUGCACAUCUCCUGCUGACUACAGUUCCACCUGCAAGUGGACACAGGUGCUCUGUCCUGGUUUGAAGGAUGAGAGACACUCAUCGCAUAUGGAGGAACAUAAGAAACACAGAAUUAUCGUUCAUCAGCAUCAAAAGGAUCAAGCAGGUGCUGGUAACAAAUGUGACUCCCUAAGAAGAGCAGCAGAAGAGAGGAGGAAGAGGAAGAACCAGGAAACCAACAGUUAUGCAAAGCCACUGCCAACAUAAUCACGAGCUGCUGUGUGGAGUCUUAAGUACCUCAUGGAAAAAUAACUCUGAAUUGGAAUUCUUCCCAAAAGCCAGCUUCGUUAAUGCUUUGACAACUGAGGUAGGCAAAAAAAAAAAAUCUGGAAAGCAGUUAUAAAUGUGAAUGACUGUUAAACCUUUCAGCAGGGUGAUUUAAUGUAAAAAAUGUAAGAUAUUAGCACAAAUGCUCUUGCAGUAGUACCAUGGCUGUGUCAUGCCUUUAAUUUACCUAGAAUUAAUUGUAGGUUUAAGACGCUUUAUAGUUUAAUGAACACACAGAACACAGCCUCAAGCAUGUUUUAUUAACCUGGCUGUGCCUUGUGUUUCAAAGCAGUCUUUGAAACUGUGGGAGACAAGUUGUGUAUGUGUGUGUGUGUGUGUGUGUGUGUGUGUCUGUGCAAAUAUGUAUGUGUUGCCACAUGGAAGCAAUGUGGAGCAGGAUGGCCAUGGGGCAGAAGGUGUAGUUUGUUGACAUAGUCAUUCUCAAAACUAUCAUUUCAUUAUGGCAAUUAAAUUGUGAAUGGGCAUUUUUGGGGGCCCUUGCCUUUAAAAGGAGUUUCUGGUAUUUUCUUUUGUUCUUUAAAAAUAUUUUUUAAAAAUGGAUUUUGCCAUGACUAUUUCCUAAAUACAUAUUCUUGCUUGUGAGUGAAAGGAAGGAGCUAUGAACUGAGAGCAAGAACUUUGAAAGUGAGAAGAGUUUAUAAGGUUAUUGGGAAAUUUUCAUCCUUGCUGAGUAAACAGGAGAGUGAUGGUAGAUCCCAUCUUUCUGAACAGAACUGUUCGCAUAUUCUGAGAGCUGAUAGACACAGAUUGGACUUCCAGCACUUAAAUGCCUGUAGCACUUCAAGAGGUGUUCAUAAAGGCCUUUUAAUAUUUUUCAUCAGUAGUCUCUCAUUUGUAGUCACACCCCCUAUUCUGUGUGCCAAGUUCGUUCUUCUGGUCUCUGGGCUGCUCCAGAUGACUUGGUCAACUUGCAUUCUUGUGUCCAAAUUGUAAGGAGAAGGGGACGAUGAGAAUUCACUGUGUCAGUGAUGACCAUGGUGGCCAAUGAUGAUUGAGUCCAAUGGUGCACCACGCUUUUCCUGAGGCGCUUACCUCAGACCUUAUUCUAUAUUCACCACAAGCCUAUGGAGGAGGACCAAUCAUUAUUGCUUUUAUGCAGCUGAGGAAACUAAAGCUUAGUUUGGUCAAGUCAACACCCAAGGAUAGAGACACAUGUGUGGCAGAGCUCAGCUUGCAGUGCAGGCAGCUGCUGGAGUGUCACCCUUGGGCUUUGGGUUUUUCUUGACUGUUUUAAGUCCCCUAAACCAGAGGACUCCACUCAGCCUCAGUCUUUGCCAGGAGAUUGGUGAUUUCCCUCCAGCUUCCUAGAUGUAUGCAACAUUUCCAAGUUCUCCAUGAAUCACAUUGAUCCUUUUUUCAUUUUUAAAAUGUCAUAUUCCUAAAUGCUUUAGAGAAAAUCAGAUAGGACAUUUUUUGGAUAUUAAUUUUUUAUUAUAGGUAUGAAAUGCUUAUAAUAAAAUUUAAAUAUUAUGAAGUUGUAUGAAAAUUUUCUCUAUUUUUUGUUGUUGCUGUUUUUUUUUUAAACUCUCUUGCCAUAUUCCUCUUCAUUCAACUACCUCUAAGCCUAAUUAUACUUCCUGGAUGUAGCCGAGGUUAAAAAUUUGAAAUUUAUCUCUUUAUGUCUCUAUCUGUAUUUUCCCCAGUUCCCUCCACAACACUCCUUGGCAUUGUUCGGUAGGAAGACUCUGAGGCUAGCCUCCCUGGAUUCAAAUCCUGAUUCUGCCAUUUAUUAGCUAAGUGAUUUUUGUGCUGGUAUUUUCCCCAUACUUCAGUGCCCUUAUCUGUAAAUGAAAAUAGUAACAGUACAUAUAUCAUAGGUUUUUGUGAAGAUGACACAUGGUAAUAUAUAAAGCAGUGAGAAC
rnacentral:lncRNA from 1 species